GCAGUGGGGAAUUUUGCACAAUGGGCGAAAGCCUGAUGCAGCGACGCCGCGUGGAGGAUGAAGGUCUUCGGGUUGUAAACUCCCUUUCUUAGGGAAAAUGAUGAUGGUACCUAAGGAAUAAGCCACGGCUAACUCUGUGCCUGCAGCCGCGGUAAGACAGAGGUGGCGAGCGUUGUUCGGAAUCACUGGGCUUAAAGGGCGAGUAGGCGUCCUGACAAGACAGGUGUGGAAUCUUUUCGCUUAACGAAAAAAUUGCAUUUGAAACUGUCGGGAUUGAGUCAGUGAGGGGAGGGCGGAAUUCCCGGUGUAGCGGUGAAAUGCGUAGAUAUCGGGAGGAAGGCCGGUGGCGAAGGCGGCCCUCUGGCGCUGAACUGACGCUGAGGCGCGAAAGCGUGGGGAGCAAACAGGAUUAGAUACCCCAGUAGUCC
rnacentral:rRNA from 1 species